GGUGUGCGGGGCUCAUGUGAGGUGUGCGACUCCCCGACGCGACCCCCACCACACGCCGCAAAAUGGCGGCGGGGCUCGGGCCGGGCCGGGCCGGGCCGGGCGGGCCGGGCCGUGCCGCCCGUUGCUAGGCGACCGACUGCCUCCUCGCCUCGCCGGGCCCCGGCGGCCGCCCUACUCUCACCCGCGGUCGGCCGCGCGCUCCCAUUGGCUGCCCCCGCGCGGCGCUCGGCUCCCAUUGCUCCGCCGCCGCCCGUGCCGCGUCCUCAUUGGCGCGCCGCCCUCUGGCCACGCCGCGUCACUUUCUCACACCAUUCCCCCCGCCUCCUCCGGCGGCCGCGGCGCGCUCGGAGGGCGGGACCCGGGACGGCGGCGGCGCCGGUGAUUGGCCGGCGGGAGCUGCCACUCAGCGCGCGGGCAGGAGCCCGGGCCGCGGGCCCGUUUAAAGGCGCCGCGCGCCGGCUACCGGCGUUUCCUCCUCGGCGGGAGUGCGGCACCGGGCGGCGGCAGCAGCGGCAGCGAUCGCCAUCGCCUCGCGCAGAACCCAAAGGGGAUGCAAAACAAAGCAGGUUCCUCGUUGCCUUACAUUGAAGCAUCUCAGGCUCUUGAUUUUUCGAAGAAGUAGUACUUCUGGGUACCAUUUCACUCUCAGUGACUGGGAUUGUUUGUUGUUGGACCAGGGGAACAAAAGGCUGCUUGUCUCAGGUCAGAUAAUUUCCAUCGUAACAAGUGACUUUCUUAAGAUGCCACACGUCACAUUUUCUUAAGUGACCAGAGCAGGCGUAUAAAGCAACGUUGUACACUGCGGUGUAACCUGACUGCCCUGGCUGCUGCUGCGCCGAGCGUACUUGGUGAGAAUACAACAGAAAUCGCCUCCCUUAAGUUGUCUUCCACAAAAAGCUCUUGAGCGAGGGAACUGCAGCAAGUAACGUGUAAUUAAAUGCUGGUGUUGAUCUCCAAGCCCUGUAACUGGCAAGCACAGAAGCAGAGUGUUUUCCUCAGAGCUCACCAAUGAUGCGAACCCUUUUGGCAUACUGAGCUGUCCUCAGAAGAAACGUCUGAUUAAAAGCCGUUGUUCUAGGGCUGUGACAUGACAAGUCCAUUAUAUGCCGUCAUCUUGUCUUCCGCGCUCAUAUGUAACUUAAUUAAAUCUGCAGCCUCUGCUCCCUGGUAACCAAUGAUGGGAUGCAUGGCAAUGGCAUGGAGCUGUGCCAGGGAGGCUGGGGCUGGACGUGAGGAAGAAUCUGUUUGCCAUGAGGGUGGCUGAGCACUGGGACAGGCUUCCUAGGGAGGUGGCUGGUGCCUGUCAGGGACACUCAGAUAACGCCCUCAGUAGCGUGCCCUUGAUAACUUUUGGCUAGCCCUGGUGUGGCUGGGCAGUGGGACUUGGUCAUCUUUCUAGGUCACUUCCAAGUGAGCUGCUCUGUCCCAAAAUUAACCAUCGCAGUCUGUGCAGGAUCGUGCUGGGGUCUGGGGGCGAGGCUCAGCCCUGGGGUGUCACCGUGACCGUGCCAGGGCAUCCCACAGCUGGCUGUGCCCUGUCUGGUGCCAUCCAGAGGGAGGAAGGGGUGUCUGUGCCAUGGCAUGCUGC
rnacentral:lncRNA from 1 species